GAUGAACGCUGGCGGCAUGCCUAACACAUGCAAGUCGAACGAGUGGCGGACGGGUGAGUAAUGUCUGGGAAACCGCCCGAUAGCGGGGGAUAACCACUGGAAACGGUAGCUAAAACCGCAUACCAUCGGAUGUGCCCAGUUGGGAUUAGCUUGUAGGUGAGGUAACGGCUCACCUAGGCGACGAACCCUAGCUGGUCUGAGAGGAUGACCAGCCACACUGGAACUGAGACACGGUCCAGACUCCUACGGGAGGCAGCAGUGGGGAAUAUUGCGCAAUGGGCGAAAGCCUGACGCAGCAAGGCCGCGUGAAUGAAGAAGGCCUUCGGGUUGUAAAGUUCUGUCAGCAGGGAGGCGUUACCCGCAGAGGAAGCCACGGCUAACUCCGUGUCAGCAGCCGCGGUAAUUC
rnacentral:rRNA from 1 species